rnacentral:rRNA from 1 species
GAUUAACGCUAGCGGCAGGCAUAAUACAUGCAAGUUGAACGAGAUUAGUUUUAGCAAUAGAACUAGUUUAGUGGCGCACGGGUGCGUAACGCGUAUGCAACCUACCUUAAACAGGGGAAUAGCCUCUCGAAAGAGAGAUUAAUACCGCAUAAUAUAUAUUUAAUGCAUAUUAGAUAUAUUAAACCUACGGGGGUUUAAGAUGGGCAUGCGUGACAUUAGCUAGUUGGUGAGGUAACGGCUCACCAAGGCAACGAUGUCUAGGGGGUCUGAGAGGAUGUCCCCCCACACUGGUACUGAGACACGGACCAGACUCCUACGGGAGGCAGCAGUAGGGAAUAUUGGUCAAUGGGGGCAACCCUGAACCAGCCAUGCCGCGUGCAGGAAUAAGGCCCUAUGGGUCGUAAACUGCUUUUGAACGGGAAGAAAUCUAUUUACAUGUAAUAGUUGACGGUA